GGCUGCUGGAAGAGAGUAGGUGAGUUGUGUUUAGUCUCUUUGCGAAAGAAAUUAGUCAAAGUUAAAAAGAUGUUUGGUGGCUAGUGCUGUGACUGGGACCCUGUAUGUACUGUUGAUGAAGUUAGGUGCUGUUCUGAGCAUUAUUUGUGGCUAUAGAGUGGCGUUUUUGUUGAGGUUUGUUUAUGGCUCCUCAGACCACUGUGUAUUGCUAUUGUGCGGUCAUUACUAAAGUUGGUAUAACUAGAGAAGCAAGCGGUCGGCAACAUUUAUCUCUCAAGGGGGUGUCUAACUCGGUGUUACGGUGUGUUUGACCCUAAAUUAAUUUUACGCCAGAAUAUUCCUGCAAUUUACCCUCCUUUUUCUGUCUGUCAAGGUUUUGGCUCCUUACACUAUUCAAUUUCCAUGUCAAAGCUUGGUUCGUGAACUCUGGAGCAUGCCCAGAACGCUUAGUUUCAGUCUGAUGGGAGUGCUGCUUGUAUCAGUGGAGCUUUGUCGUAGCUAAACAUGUUAAUUUACCUACACUAUCUGAGGCUAUUUCUGUAUUUGUCCUCCCAUCCUUUGACAGUGAAGUUGAUGUUUCCAUUUUUCAAAAUCCAAACCACUCUAAUUCUCAGGAUACAUGUCCUACUUCUAUUGAAAACACAGAAGUCUAAACGAUAAGUCAUCAUGAGAGUUGGGAAUAAAGUAGCAGUACUUAUAAGGGUCGAGUACUUUCUUCUGAGAGGUGAACCAUGACUGUAGUUUACUGCAUCGGUCACAUACUAGUGGAGUGAAGUUUGGGAAGUAUUGUUGAUUACAUAAUCCGUCCCAAAAGGGGAUUUAUAUAAAAUUGUUCCAUCUGACAUUUCUGCGCCGCGCAUUAGUGACCUAAUGCCUGCUGUUUGACUCAUGCUCCUCUCUGGAUCUUCAGUUUUUUCACCCUGCAGUUUGAUCAGGUAUCAAGUAAACAGGUCUGGGGUACAGCAGCCUGACGCCGCUGUCUGUCUUUGACAUUUCCCUUCUGACGCUCUCAGUCACCCCGCCCUGGAAUUCCUCCUGCAUGGCUCACACUCCUCUGCUUCGGGGCCGAGCCGGGUCCCCCUGGGGCCCAUCUUCGGGAGGAAAUUAUUUUUCAUUGCCCCCAAAACGCUUUGACUCUCGCCAGUUUGGCCCCGUCCCCUGGUUCUACUCUCCAGGUUGUAAGGUUGAGCUUCCCCCUGCCCAUAAGGGGGCGGCUGUGAGGUCAGGCCUUCAAGUAAAGCAGGUCACAACCCGGGGCUUGAGUCCUCCUCCACCCUGUUGCUCCUGCGCCUUUGUUCCCUUCACAUAAGUGCAGGUUGUAUAUUAUCUUAAAUGUACUAACCUGACUUUGCUCAAACAGUAGGAGCAGCUCAUCCAUCUUCCCCGGGUCCCUGCAGGAACUCUUGUCAAGCUUCUUACUUUUGUUACAAUCCGAGCAGCCGCCACAGUGGUUUACUGUCAAACCAGGGUUUCAUGUUGUGUUAUUAAACUUUGUGUUCCUCGUGGUUAACUUUUGGGAGCGGGACGGCCUCACCAAAAAUAUUUCACUUCAAAUCAUCCCAAGUGACUGAAAAUACAUUUUUUUGUGUUGUUGUUGUGGUUUCCACUUUUUGAGCCACACAGAACAUUAAAAACGUUUGUUUUCCACCAUUUUUGCUGCAGCUGAAUUAUAACUUUUCUGAUGUUAAUCCAGUAAUUAGGAGGUUCGGGUAUCCGCUCUAAUUCACCGUGUGACAAGUCAUGACUUUUGCUUCAAGAAUGCAGUGACUCAGAAGUUGGCUAGAUGGCUCCAGUGUUUCAGGUGACUCAGCAGGAAAUCCACUGACACUCUGAUCACAGUCACUUCGUUUUAUUCCAAAAUGUUUUCGCUCGAUUCCAAAAAACACCAAAAAACUACAUUUCUCCCACAAGACAGAGAGACAGCGGGGGUGUAUGAAUGAGGAGAGGAGGAGGAGACAAGGGGCUGAAUGGAGCUUCUGUCAGUGUUUUAAUAGCAUGUUGAAGUUUAUAACCAUAGAUGUACCAUCACAUGGGACAAUUAUUCAUUUAAUAUCUUAGCAUUCCUCUACAUGUAUAGUUCUGAUUUGUAUUAAACAUCUUAUCAAACCCAGCAGUAGAAAAGUAAAUGCUAAUUAGCUUUCAUUACUUUCAUAUCUUCAUUUAACAUAAACAAAACCAACGAUGUUAAGCACAAAGCAAAACCAUCCCAGUCCAGAAAUAACAAAAUCUGUAAAUUAGUUCAAGUUCCCUGAUUAAAAUGAGGUGUUUGAACAUCAGAAAAAAAGGUUGUAAAAAUGUAGAGUUGAUGUUUUUAUAAGAGGAAGGGGAAUUUUUGUGAAGGAGGUGACUUCCUUGAAGAUACAGUGUGUAAAAAAUGGAGUAUUCAGUGAUACCUAUAAAUCAUAUUCUAGUUUGCUCACUCCUCCUUGUCCAGAAGUAACAGUGGCCUUCUCUGAUAAGAAACUAUACAUUUUCAGUGAGUAUGUAUAACGCUUGAUCAAAAAUUUUAUUUUGCAGACAGCAGCCUCUCUCCUCUUCUUCUAGCGUGACCUCAGGCCAAUCCAUUACAGACUGCUGCGGGGUGACACAGCUCAAGGAAGAACAUUUAUGAUCAUUUCUUUAUCAUUUCCUUGAAGUAAUAAUCAACAUAUUAAUCAUUUUGCUCUGCAGACGCGGUAGUUCUUCUGCUUAGCGUCUCGGUCUGAUUGCAUUUCCAUGAAGAAAUGAUCAUAAAUGUUCCUCCUUGAGCUGCGUAACCCCGUCUUGCUACAAACAAGCGGGUGCUGGAAGAGAGUAGGUGAGUUGUUUUUAGUCUCUUUGCAAAAGAAAUUAGUCAAAGUUAAAAAGAUGUUUGGUGGCUAGUACUAUGGCUAGGACCCUAUAUGUACUGUCGAUGAAGUUAGGUGCAGUUCUGAGCAUUAUUUGUGGUUAUAGAGUGGCGUUUUAGUUGAGGUUUGUUUAUGGCUCCUCAGACCGCUGUGUAUUGCUU